AGAGGUGCUGCAUGGCUGUCGUCAGCUCGUGUCGUGAGAUGUUAGGAAAAAGUCCCGCAACGAGCGCAACCCUUGUUUGCUGUUGCCAUCAGGUAAUGCUGGGCACUCUGCAAAGACUGCCGGUGAUAAACCGGAGGAAGGUGGGGAUGACGUCAAGUCAGCAUGGCCUUUAUGUCUGGGGCUACACACGUGCUACAAUGGCCGAUACAAACCGUCGCGAGCCCGCAAGGGGGAGCUAAUCGGAGAAAGUCGGUCUCAGUUCGGAUAGCAUGCUGAGUAUGGGCCUGCUUGAAGUUGGAAUCGCUAGUAAUCGCGGAUCAGCACGCCGCGGUGAAUACGUUCCCGGCCCACCUCUAAAGCGCCCGUCACAUCACGAAAGCCGGUUGUACAGGGCCUCCAGCCAACCCGCAAGGGAGGGAGGCGCCUAAGGU
rnacentral:rRNA from 1 species